rnacentral:rRNA from 1 species
CCUACGGGUGGCAGCAGUGGGGAAUAUUGGACAAUGGGGGGAACCCUGAUCCAGCCAUGCCGCGUGUGUGAAGAAGGCCCUCGGGUUGUAAAGCACUUUCAGUGAGGAAGAACGCCUGGUGGUUAAUACCCAUCAGGAAAGACAUCACUCACAGAAGAAGCACCGGCUAACUCCGUGCCAGCAGCCGCGGUAAUACGGAGGGUGCGAGCGUUAAUCGGAAUUACUGGGCGUAAAGCGCGCGUAGGUGGCUUGAUAAGCCGGUUGUGAAAGCCCGGGCUCAACCUGGGAACGGCAUCCGGAACUGUCAAGCUAGAGUGCAGGAGAGGAAGGUAGAAUUCCCGGUGUAGCGGUGAAAUGCGUAGAGAUCGGGAGGAAUACCAGUGGCGAAGGCGGCCUUCUGGACUGACACUGACACUGAGGUGCGAAAGCGUGGGUAGCAAACAGGAUUAGAUACCCCAGUAGUC